rnacentral:rRNA from 1 species
UACGUAGGGUGCAAGCGUUGUCCGGAAUUAUUGGGCGUAAAGAGCUCGUAGGUGGCCUGUCGCGUCGGCUGUGAAAACUCGGGGCUCAACUCCGAGCCUGCAGUCGAUACGGGCAGGCUAGAGUUCGGCAGGGGAGACUGGAAUUCCUGGUGUAGCGGUGAAAUGCGCAGAUAUCAGGAGGAACACCGGUGGCGAAGGCGGGUCUCUGGGCCGAUACUGACACUGAGGAGCGAAAGCGUGGGGAGCGAACAGG